rnacentral:rRNA from 1 species
UACGAAGGGUGCAAGCGUUAAUCGGAGUUACUGGGUGUAAAGGGUGCGUAGGCGGUUGUUUAAGUCUGUCGUGAAAUCCCCGGGCUCAACCUGGGAAUGGCGAUGGAUACUGGGCAGCUAGAGUGUGUCAGAGGAUGGUGGAAUUCCCGGUGUAGCGGUGAAAUGCGUAGAGAUCGGGAGGAACAUCAGUGGCGAAGGCGGCCAUCUGGGACAACACUGACGCUGAAGCACGAAAGCGUGGGGAGCAAACAGG